rnacentral:rRNA from 1 species
UACGGGGGGGGCAAGCGUUGUUCGGAAUUACUGGGCGUAAAGGGCUCGUAGGCGGCCAACUAAGUCAGACGUGAAAUCCCUCGGCUUAACCGGGGAACUGCGUCUGAUACUGGAUGGCUUGAGGUUGGGAGAGGGAUGCGGAAUUCCAGGUGUAGCGGUGAAAUGCGCAGAUAUCAGGAAGAACACCCGUGGCGAAGGCGGCUCUCUGGGACGGUACUGACGCUGAGGCGCGAAGGCCAGGGGAGCAAACGGG